rnacentral:rRNA from 1 species
UACGUAGGGGGCGAGCGUUGUCCGGAAUUACUGGGCGUAAAGCGCGCGCAGGCGGCCUGAUAAGUCAGGUGUGAAAUCUUAAGGCUCAACCUUAAGCGGUCACUUGAAACUAUCAGGCUUGAGGGCAGGAGAGGAGAGCGGAAUUCCUAGUGUAGCGGUGAAAUGCGUAGAUAUUAGGAGGAACACCAGUGGCGAAGGCGGCUCUCUGGUCUGCAACUGACGCUGAGGCGCGAAAGCUGGGGGAGCAAACGGG